rnacentral:rRNA from 1 species
AUGGGCCCUGCCGUUCUCUUCUUCCUCGUACUUGCAGCUGCAUCACUGUUGCCCUCCACGGCGCAACCCUGGCGCUAUCCACACUAUCCAAAUAAUACUACCAACCUUUCGACGGUGUGGACAAACAACGGCAAAUUCAGCUUCUACAAUAGCUCAGCCGUGCGCCCGAUUCUCCAAGGUUUAUCACCCGAACAAGAUCCAGAGCUUCCUGGUUUUGCCUUUGUAGCAGGGUUCAUAUGUGCCUUGACGCCUACAUGUGACAUGUCCCUCUUCGCUAUCUUUAUUGUACAUGUCUAUGCUGGCAUAUUGGAGCGGUUUUAUCCAGUGCAGGUGGUCUGGUGUGCCAAUCGGGCUAGCCCUGUUGGGGAGAAUGCCACCCUCGAGCUUACCACGGAUGGAAACCUGGUCCUCCGUGAUGCUGAUGGUAGCCACGUCUGGUCAAGUAACACCUCUGGCCAAUCUGUAGCUGGCAUGCUGAUCACGAAGAUCGGCAAUUUGGUAUUGUUUGACCACAAGAAUGCAACUGUGUGGCAGUCAUUUGAUCAUCCCACUGACACAUUGGUCCUCGGUCAGUCACUUCAGGAAGGUACGAGACUCAUAGCAAGUACUUCUGCAACAAAUAUGACCCAAAAUCAGUUGUAUAUCACUGUACUCCCACAUGGGUUAUGUGCUUAUGCUGAAUCUGCACCACCACAACCCUACUACUGUUCGCCCUCGGUUCCCAACAACAAGAAAGGAAAUGUUACAUUUGUGAAUGGAAGCCUUGUGCGGUCAGAUUUUUCUGAUAUCUCACAGCUGCGACCAGCUAAAUCCACCCAAUACAUGAGAUUAGAUUCAGAUGGACACAUGAGGUUGUAUGAGUAUGAAUGGUCUAUGGAAAAAUGGACUGUGGAGUAUGAUAUACUGCAAAUAGAUGACUGUGCUUACCCAACAGUCUGCGGAGAGUACGGUAUAUGCACCCAGGGACAAUGUGCUUGUCCACUUCAGAACUAUUCUUGUUCAAGCUACUUCAAGCCGGUGGAUGAGCGGAAGCCAAAUCUUGGUUGCACGCCAAUAACUCCAAUCUCUUGUCAAGAAAUUCAACACCAUUCGCUCUUGACACUCACUGAUAUUUCUUACUUUGAUAAAAGCCAUGACAUUGUAAAUUUGAGCGAAGAGGACUGCAAGCAAGCUUGCUUGAAGAACUGCUCAUGCAGGGCCGUUAUGUACAGCUAUGACCGGUUGGGUCCUGGUAGAUGUACCUGGAUGACAAAGGUCUUCUCCUUGCAAGCAAUACAACCUGUAGGAAACUUAAGUUCCUCUACUUACCUCAAGGUGCAACUUAACCCCUCCAUUUCUGCAUCUUCUUCAAACAAAAAAAAGGUGAUGGUAGGUGCUACACUUGGAGCUAUUACUGCUCUUGCAUUACUUGUCAUUGUUGUCAUUUUUUAUCUACAAAGGAGGAACAAGUAUGAAGACAAAGAUGAGGAAUUUGAUUUCAAUCGAUUGCCUGGAAAGCUGACGAGAUUUUCUCUAGAGACAUUGAGGGCAUGCACAGAAGGGUUCAAUAAGAAGCUCGGAGAAGGUGGGUUUGGGUCAGUUUUUGAAGGGAAAUUAGAUGAACAAAGAGUUGCAGUGAAACGUUUGGAAGGCGCUAGACAAGGAAAGAAAGAAUUCCUAGCAGAGGUCGAGACUAUCGGCAGCAUUGAACACAUCAAUCUUGUUAGCCUGGUUGGGUUUUGUGCAGAGAAGUUAGAGAGGCUUCUAGUAUAUGAAUAUAUGUCAAGAGGGUCACUUGAUAGGUGGAUCUAUUACCGCCAUAACAAUCCAUCUCUUGAUUGGUGCACCCGGUGUAGGAUAAUUCUGGAUAUUGCCAAGGGUCUGUGCUAUCUUCAUGAGGAAUGCAAGCGAAAGAUUGUUCAUUUGGACAUCAAGCCACAAAAUAUUCUUUUGGAUGACAAUUUCAAUGCCAAAGUGGCUGAUUUUGGCCUAUGUAAGUUAAUAAAUAGGGACCAAAGCAAGGUAGUUACUGUGAUGAGAGGAACACCUGGAUAUCUUGCCCCUGAAUGGUUGACAUCACAGAUCACUGAAAAAGUUGAUGUCUACAGCUUUGGAGUUGUUGUCAUGGAAAUAGUAAGUGGAAGAAAAAAUAUUGACCAUUCUCGGCCCGAGGAGGAAGUUCAGCUUAUAAAUGUACGGCGGGAAAAAGCUCAAAACGACCAAUUGGUUGAUCUCAUUGACAAGCAUAGUGAUGAUAUGGUUUCACAUCAGAAAGAAGUGAUUCAAAUGAUGAAGCUUGCAAUAUGGUGCCUGCAAAAUGACAGCAUUCAAAGGCCUUCAAUGUCAGUAGUGAUCAAGGUAUUGGAAGGUUCUAUGAGUGUAGAAACUAUCGAUGCAAAUUCAGUCAUGCCUGUUCAACAUUAUGCAUCAACAUGUUCGGUUCCACCACAAGCAUCUGUAUUAUCUGGCCCAAGGUGA